GUAGACGGGUGAGGGGUGUUACAAUAAGAGCUGGAGCAAAGGUAGCAGAUACCUCUAGAGAAGUGGGUGAAGGAAUAUCUCCUAGAGGAUCAUCAUCAUCUCUAACGUUUGCUACCUCCUGUGUAGCAUGAUCACUCUUAGAGGUGGCUGGGCCUUGUGCCUCUUCUUGAGUCCCAGAAUGUCUCUUAAAAGAAGCAUCGUUUGUAGAAGAUGUGUCAGAAUCUGAAGGAGUCCUUAGGUUAGUAUCACUACUGUCAAAAACUUCAACUGAAACUGAAGGGAAAGCCCGAGGCUUCUUGGCCUUAGGCACAUGACGGCCGGAACGCCUGAUAAAAGGAUGAGAGGAACUUCCCUGCUGCUUCUUCUGAGGUUGAGGGGAGUUCUUGAUUUUGGACCUCUAUCUCUUGGUUGGUGCCCUAGUCUUCUUAGAUAGAGAAAGUUGUGACUAGGAAAAAGCCCUUUCUUACUUUCUGGAGAUGAGUUGUAGUAGUAGGAGUAGAGGGAGUGUAUGGUAGAGGACAGCCAAAGGUCUGAGAACAGCAUCAUGAAACUUGGAGGACCACUAGCUCAAAAAAGAAAGUACCAACAGAAAGUACCAACAGCCUCCAUGGGAAUCAUUCGGCACACAUCCUGCAACUGUUAUGCCCUGUAACUAUACUGAUCCAUGUCUGCUAAAGAUGAUAGACUGAUCCAACUAGCAGUGACUUGGUUAGCAUGAAUAAGGAUGCCAGAGGGAACACCCUCAAUGAAUCCUAAUUAUCAGCAUUAAAGGGAAGGCAUGCAUAACUCCAGUCUAGGCUUCACUAUGACUAAACGAGUGCCAAAUGAGGAACCAGUUUAUAUGUGCCAAAUAAUGAUGAUAGAGGCCCAUUGGCUAACAGCAUUAUCUAUAAAGGUGGCUCUGAAGUGGAUGAGCCAAGUAGAAAGGCCAACAAAUUCAAGAGCUUUAAUGUCAUCAAAAGGAGUAAAGCCGAAGAAGUCUAGAGUGAGUAGCUAGACCAAGAACCUCAGUACCUGACUCUCAUCCCAAGUGCAAGCUAGAGAAGCAACUUUUCUACCGAAGACACUAUCAACAAGGACUGGUGUAGUGUCUGCCAGCUCCGGGAAGUAGGAGAGUAGCCACAGCUGUACAAUGCAAAAAGCGCCAUUCACCUUAUUCAGUGACGCAUCAUCUGAUAACAUGGUAGAUAAAGCUCAAAAAAAUAAGGCCAGCAACAUAGUACCAAGGGCACGAGGUUGACCCAUGGUGAGAGAACAAGCUAGUGGCAGGUACUCAAUAGAGGGGCACCCAAAAGAGAGGCAAAAGAUGAAUUUGCAAAUCAAGCACCAAAUGAAUAGAGUAUGGUCUAACUAGCUAAUGCUGGAGCUAUACUCAAUAAGAACACUAUAAAAAGUGAAUCUGUCUAGUUUUUUGUAUCUGGAAAGUAACUCUAUUAAAGAGCUAGGAACCUCAUUGCCAAUAAUAGGUAGGCCUACUAGGACCUUAAUAUCCUCCAAUUUGAUAGACAUUGGCCCCAUUGGCAAGAUAAAAGAGUUGCAAGAUCCGGACCAUAGCCUUAAGGAACUAGCCAAAUAACCCAGGACAAAAAGGUAGGGUGUAUCUAGUUAGCUUGAUGAAGUCAUAGAUACCCAGAAGCUUCCAAGUAUGAGAGAAGUGAGGCUAGAGUCUGUCUAUCCACACCUCCCAGCUAGAAGAUUGCUUCGGCCAGGAUUUGAUGUCACCUGGACAGAGGAGAGACUGUAAUUCUCGAUCAAGCAACAGCUCUUGGUAUCUCCACAGAAGGAAAGGAGGCAAUGGAAUGCCGUGUGAGAGAGCAAAAGGAUCAAUGGUGGCAGCCUCUGUCACAAGACCCUGGUGAGAUGAAAAUUGGACAAAGUUUCCUCUAUAAAAUGGACAUCCAGUUCUUCAAGUAUGAACCAAUUGUCACAAUAAAUGAUUAAAACGCAACCUGCAAAAAGCUCACAUAUACAGUAAGUUCAAAAAAUACCUCCAGUAAUGCGAGAAAAUAAGUUAGUAUUGGGCAUAGGAAAGGCUGGUGGAGUGUAAACUUGCUAGGCAGUAGAGGUAGCACUCAACUUAGGAACACUACUGCUAAUAAGAGAAACCUGUGGUACCAUCAGUGGUACCUGCGAAGCUACAAGUACCUAUGAAGUGAUAGGUACCAGGGUACCAAUAAGUGCCUGUGAACUAGAAGGAGAGUCUAAUGCCAUCGGUACAAGCACAAAGGACAUACCAAAUGUGCAUUCCUAAAACAACAAUCAAAGAGCACAGGUAUUGACAUGCAAAUUCAACUUACAGAUACUUAACAAAUGCAAAUAGUGCAAUAUGUACUGAGCAACCUACUACAGCGAAUGCAAGUACCUGAGAAGGUACUUACAAAAUUCUCAAAACCAGGAAAAAUCAACAAGACCCAUUCAAUUAUCUAACUACUCCAAGGCAAGAUUAGCACCAAAAGGAAUGAAUGUGCAAGAAGGAGAUUGAAUCUCGCAAGUUGAUAGCAAGGAACUCUAGUCAGUGCCAAAGCUAUGCCAUCGAUGAUAGGUAGCUACGAAGGUAAGCGUUAGAGCCAUAACUGAAAUGGAAACAACCAGGGAAAGAUGUUCGAGGAAGGGCCUCGUGCCAACAAUCGAUAGCUAGAGGCAAAUUGGCGAGAAGAACAAUGAUUGAAAUGACAUUGAGGGAAAUAGAAUCAGGCGAUGGGGGAAUGGUGUGCCGAUGAGAUAAACCAAGAUGGGUAGCUAAUGGAUGACUAAUGACCGUGCAGUUGCACGGUUAAGGAAGCUCGCUAGCAAUGAAUGGGACAAAGAAGAAAAGUAUGGGUUUAUGAGACUGAUUGUUUUCUGAUUUGAUAAUCGUAAUCAAUGAGUUUAAGAGCGGAGAAAUACAGGUAAAGCGUGAGAGAGUUUCUUUCAAUUGCCAUUAAUGAUAUACUAUGGGAUUCGUUAUUUGCAGUAAAUAAAGUUCCAUAGAAAAUUGGACUCUUAUGGGAUAAGGCUAAUUUAAAUUUAAGGUAUGUAUGAAUGGCGGGGCUUCCAAGUUAUGAACAAUAGGUAUUUAUGUAAUCAGAUUGGAAAAAAUAUUUAACCCAAUAAUUGUUGUAUUACGUCCUCCGACAAAUUUCUCUUUUUUUUUUUUAAUAAAUCAAUUUACAUGAUCACCUAUGUAACAAUUUUUCUGUGGUAUUAUUUUUUUUUUUUAUCAAGGGUAUUAAAUUCAGCGAAUUCUUAUUGUGCCGUGUUGAUAUUUGAAUUUUUUGCUUAACUGAUCACCCAUGACAAUCUAACUCCAACAUUACCACUAGCACAUCCAAAUUCUAGACACCCAUGGCGUCUGUGUACUGUACAUAUAAAGAGAGAACGAGAGAUGUGAAGCCAUAAUUUCUCAACAUAUCUAAAGGUAAAAACAAAAGAGACACAAUCAUUAAAGUUGACAUCAGGCGAAUAUAAAUGAUAAAAACACACCAAUUUGGAAAAGGGGGAAUUUGUUUAUAAAGAGCCUAUCCUGUGUGCUAUUAAGCUUUUUCCUCACCAACACGUUGAAAUGACUCCAAAGGGUGCAUCUCCAGCUAAUUUCAAAAUACCACGUCGAUUGACAUUGAAGGACAUUAAAACCUUUUCAACAAUCAAAUAUUUACCAUUUGCUUUCAGCUCUCUUCAUUUGUAGAAUUCAAAGUCGGUAUCAGGUUUCUUCACAUUGGUUCGGUAACCUUUCUCAAAGUCCUUAGGGAGUAUGACAUACCUAUUCUUGCGAACUGCAUGCAUCCCUGCUUCCUGACAAAUAGCUGCAAUCUGCAGAAGGUCAUGCAAUUAAAAUAACUAUAUUAACUAAUGCCACGCGCGAGUUCACCAUCCUUUAUUAUAUUAACAGGCAGCCUAGAUUUUGGACAAUCCUUGGCCAUUAGCUAACUAACCCUCCCUCUUACUUGUGAUGGGCCAAAGAACAGUAUCAAUAAACCAACCACAUAUUUAAAUUACAGUUGCAGCUGCAAUGACAGUUGCAGUUGAAGUCACAAAUCAUGAAUAAUAGUAGCGCCUGCGAUGGCACAAGUUUUUUUAUUUUUUAAUGGCAAAUUACAUCAAAUGAAUAUACAAGAAUUUUACUACAAUUGAUUUAACUAAUAAAUUAGAACAAGGGAAUAAUUACAAUUGAUUUAACUAAUAAAUCAGCAUAAGUGAAUAAUUAAAAAUGCCCUACCCAUAUUUUGUUUUAUUACCUAUCAGCUUAGUUUCAAUUUUUAAAGCAAAAUUAAAUCACAUCAACAGUUCCACAUCAAGUGACCAUGAAAAGAGUGUUCAUAUUUAAAAAAUUUGAAAAAUAAAAAUCAAAAGAAAAUAAAAGGGUAAAUUUUCUGAAAUUCUGGAAGUUCAAAAGUCAUGUGAACCAGUAAGUCAAUUUUGAAUAUGUAAGAGAUCUUACCAUUCGACUCAUCAACUGUUGUCUAUCAAUUCAUCAAUUGUUGCAGCAGUGACAGUUAAUGGCAGCAACCAGCGCCUUCGAUAGCCAUGAUUGUGAUUGUGGUGACAGUGUGGCAAUUAAAAAGCAGAAAGCAUAUGGCAAUCCUUACUUUUCAAAAAUGCAAUUUUUUUGCUGGUAUUCUGUUAUUUUAUAUGGACAUAUUUUUAUCAAACUAAACAUCACUUUUGCUUUGUUGCUUUCACAAGGGCAAAUAGGAAAACAUAUUUCAACAGGAAAACAAAUGUUGGCUAAGUUAAUGAAAGAUUCCAAGCAUAAGACCCCAGCCUGACAGAACAGUGUAAUGUCAUACACCUGAGUGUUGGAAAUUUUCUUAAAACUACUGACAAUUCACAUGACAUAGUUACAUUUAUAAUUCUCUAUUUACAUGGUAAGCACAUUCAAUGUCAUGCUUAAAAAUGUUUGUAAGAAUUAUUUGCAUUGAAGCAAGUUCUAUCCCAACUUAGGAUACAUAUGAUGAAUAGCACCAGCACAUGAAGAAAUUCUUAAACUCACAACAUUGUCAUUACAGGAAUUUGAUUAAAAGUCAAAGAAGGUUAAUCCUGUGUUUCACUUCUUGUUUCUUACAAGAAAAUUAAGAAUAUGAUACUCUACUUUAUAAAAUGACAAUUUCAAGAAAACCAAAAGAAUUAACCAAAUUUUAGUUUCAGUCAACAAUAUACAUUAUGUUUUUCCACAGUAAUUUGUUAAACAUGUGUCAUGUUUUUCCCAUAGUAAUUCAUUAAACCUACUAGUUUCCAAGAUCUUCUCGCAGGAGUUGGGUCAAAGUAAGCCAAUAACAAAAAUAUGGUAAGUUGGUAACGAAAACCGUAUAUAAUGAAGAUUAUAAGAAGAAAGAACAAACCUCAGCAGCACUGAUUUUAUCUGGCCGAGAAACAUAAUCCUCCAAGUCUACCUCAUCACUGAGAUUCAUUUUAGAAGUACAAACCUGGAAAACAAGCCUCUUUUGUCGUCUAUCAGGCAAUGGAAAUUCAAUUUUUCGGUCAAGUCUUCCAGGACGAAGAAGCGCAGGGUCCAAAGUGUCAGCACGAUUUGUUGCCAUUAUGACCUUAACAUUCACUGUCUGGUCGAACCCGUCCAUCUGAUUCAGAAGUUCCAUCAAGAUUCGUUGGACUUCUCUAUCAGCCCCAGUUUGAGCAUCAAACCUAGCAGUAGCAAUAGCAUCUACCUCAUCAAUGAAAAUAAUUGCAGGGGCAUUCUCCUUAGCAAGGCGAAAAACAUCACGAACCAUACGGGGGCCCUGAAGUAAAGAGAGGAAAAUUAUUAUUGAGCAAUACAAAUCUAAACAUGAUAAACAAAGUCAUCUGCCAAGCAGAAUAACAAAUUUUCAAACCAAUACUAGUAUUUCAUAGUUAGCGAAAUCCACAGCAAAAGUAUAUUAAAUGUCAUAAAAAAGAAAGCAACUGCUCCUCCUAAGGGAGCAUUUGUCUUGGGAUAAAUGGGGCUAUGUGUUACUCCAGCAACAAUUUAUCCCCUUUAACAGUGUUUAGUAUAAUACAGUUAAAGCUUAACCAGCUAAUCAUUUACCACCAAACAUGCUGAAUCAAUAAUACAUUACUCCUGACAGUUAGUGUGACAACUGAAAGAAGAAAGAGCUUAAGGUGAAUGAAAAAGGUUAAAGAAAUAUCAUUCCACUUCAUCUUCUCCUUCAAUCUUGAUCAGCACUAUCUCUAACCAGAUUUUUAAUCUUCAAUUCAUUUUGAAAUAAAGAAAAAUAACAGAUAUAUCUCUCUUUCCCUACCUUACACAGCCUGUUAAAAAUAUGAUCAUUUAAUGGAACUAAUUUGUUCUAGACUUGGACUUGGGUUCAGUUCAUUUGACAUAAGAAAAGUUCUCAUCUGUAGAAGUUUUCCUAUUGUUGCCCUCUUGAAUCACUUUAUUCAUUGUCGAAGUUUCGAGAUAAGUUUCAAUCACUAGAGGAGAAGAGAGCAAUUGUUCUAUUGCAAUUGUGAACUCUGUUCAAAUUGAUCUGAAUUCAUUUAAAAUUGCCAAAAGAAGAAAUCUAAUUACUUUUAAACUUUGUACCAAACAUAAGCAACCAUUAUUAGGUUAAUAAGUAUCCUUCAUCUCCCAAUGGUUAAUGAAGUAAUGGUUAAACACUUCUCCCAGACAUGGUUAAUAGAUGUAACGAUUACAACCUAAAAACUUUUUUUUAACCCUAUAAAAAAAAUGCACUUUUAAGUCCUAAAAUAAACAAUUAAACGAGAUGAGAAUGCUUAUAAAUAUCAUAGCUUUACCAUCACAUACAAGUGGGGAAGAGAGAGAGCUUCAGUGCAUGAGGCCUCCCUCAUCUCAGGCUCUACAAAAGGUCAGAUAUACCCAGCCUCUAGCAUUGAAAUGAUAAACAAUUCGAAAAAAAAAAAAUGUGAAG
rnacentral:misc_RNA from 1 species